rnacentral:rRNA from 1 species
UACGUAGGGAGCGAGCGUUGUCCGGAAUUACUGGGUGUAAAGGGAGUGUAGGCGGGAUAGUAAGUCAGGUGUGAAAUUUAUGGGCUCAACCCAUAACCUGCAUUUGAAACUACUAUUCUUGAGUGAAGUAGAGGUUGGCGGAAUUCCUAGUGUAGCGGUGAAAUGCGUAGAUAUUAGGAGGAACAUCAGUGGCGAAGGCGGCCAACUGGGCUUUUACUGACGCUGAGGCUCGAAAGCGUGGGGAGCAAACAGG